rnacentral:tRNA from 1 species
AUGCCUUUGGUGUAUCGGCUGCGUUGGGUCGCUACCCACGUCCCGAGUCGAAAGCCGGUCUGGUCGACGUGGUCCUGGUGCACGAGGGCGUG